rnacentral:rRNA from 1 species
CUACGGGUGGCUGCAGUGAGGAAUAUUGCACAAUGGGGGAAACCCUGAUGCAGCAACGCCGCGUGGAGGAUGACGCAUUUCGGUGUGUAAACUCCUUUUAUCAGAGAAGAAAAUGACGGUAUCUGAUGAAUAAGCUCCGGCUAACUCCGUGCCAGCAGCCGCGGUAAUACGGGAGGGAGCAAGCGUUAUUCGGAAUCACUGGGCGUAAAGGACGCGUAGGCGGGUUUUUAAGUCAGGUGUGAAAUCCUAUGGCUCAACCAUAGAACUGCACUUGAAACUGGGGACCUAGAGUAUGGAAGGGGCAGGUGGAAUUAGUGGUGUCGAGGUAAAAUCCGUAGAUAUCACUAGGAAUACCGAAAGCGAAGGCGACCUGCUGGGACAUUACUGACGCUGAGGCGUGAAAGCGUGGGGAGCAAACAGGAUUAGAUACCCUAGUAGUC